GGUAAAAUGGCCGAGAACAAGCGGUAAGCUGUAAACUUACUUAUGAAUUAAAUUCUUUUACC
rnacentral:tRNA from 1 species